UGAGGUGACUUAGCUUGGUGG
rnacentral:piRNA from 1 species